AUCUAAUUUUGCUUUACCGCAGCUACGGUAGUUGAUUCCGAAACGCACCCCCGGUCUUCGGUUUUCGCCGGAAGUCUUCCCACGGGGAAAAAUAGUCCUUUAGCGAAUUCAAAUGGAGGAAAUGCGUGCAGCGACUGCCAUCAGGUGGUGGAGGUUGGUGGCGUUGAGGUUCUGGGAAUCUCCAGUGGAACAAUAACAAUCUCGCCUGUCCUUAUUGUAUAUGCGUCAACUUGAUCGGGGUUGGUUUUUUCUUCAUCUUCUUCUUCCUCGGUCCUCCGAAGCAACAGAGCCUAUUGAGAAUGAAUAAAUAUUGCCCCGAGUCGAGGAUUUGGUUCUGACUGGACGUACACAGGUUUUUCAAGAUCUGUCCAGACCUAGAUGGACCUGGUAAGUCCUAAUCAGUUCUGCGACGUACUUUU